rnacentral:tRNA from 1 species
AGAGCCUUGUGGUAGAGGAUACAUUAGAUUGCAAAUCUAAAGACGCAGAUUAACAUCUGCCGGGGCUU